UAAUAUCCUCAACCAUUUACAGCCUAAAAAAUAAGAACAACGUAAAAGAAUUUCAGUUAAGCUGCAAAAUCUCUCUACUCCUCCAUGCUCGAUUGAGCAUCUAUUAGGGUUUUUGGUGAGGAUCACGACCAUGCUUUCCAUAUCUAAUCGACGUGUUUACAUUAUGUUAUGUGAGAUCGAGUGUAUAACAUUGUUACUCUAGCCUUAUCUCACGUUCUUCCUCCCUAAUUGUCUUCUCUGCUCUUCACUGUAAGCGUGUCUUCUCAGUUUUUUACUAUAUAUUUAUUUUUUUUCAAUUGUAAUUUUUCUAAGAAUUUGAAGAUUAUUGCAGAAAACUGGCAUUUCAUCGCCGACUCAGUUUUAGCUUUUAAUUGGCCUGUUAACAAAAGUUAUUUUUUGAUGCUUACCAAUAAAGUUUCAGAGAGUUGACGGAGAGAUUUGAGGGGCUUGUUUUGAAUUCAUUUUCUCCUAAUUGACAGGUCAUUGAGUUAGUGUACAAUAAAAAUUCUCAAGCUUAAGAAUUUUUUGGUCACAAGUAUGAUCCUCUGUUAAGAAUUCUUUUCUCUUUGAUGGCGUUGUUGGUUGUAGCCGAUCCAUUAAGUUGUUUUACGGAUGAUUUUGUGAUUUUUUUUUUUUUUGUGUUAAAUAGUUUCUGUAAUAGUUAUUUCUACCCAAAUACUCUUUACCAGUUAUAUUGCCCUAAAAAUUAGAGAAUGCCAAAAUGAAAAAGGAAACCUCUUUCCAUGUACAGUUUUUUCCUUAUUUUGUGAUUAUUAUUGUUGGGAGAAACAAAAUUUUUGUUUUGCCUGGUAAUUGUAAAGAUUUGCAGUAAAUUAAUUAAGUUUUAGGAAUGGUUGUUUUCUGUGUUGAUUACCCGUGAUAGGAUUUGAUAAGGUGCCACAGGGUUAAGAUGCAGUUAAGUGAAUUAGAGUAAAGCAGAGGGAAUUGUGUUAUUUUCAAUGCCAUUAUAUAUCCAACAAGUCUCAGAUUAAUGGUAAUAAGUUUCUUGUGUGGUAGUCUAUGAACUUGAGAUGGUUUUAUUCAUGCGCCUUAAAGAAUGGCUCGAGAAAAUACACUCUUGUUUGAAGUUUAAUUCAAGUUCUAGUUAAUAACAGAGUUAGUGUUAUGUUGUGGGUGAAAUUUCCAUUAUCCUUAAUCAACCUGCUUUUUCCCUUUGCGUUUAUUUUAUUCCUACUCCUUAGUUUUUCACUUAAUCUUCAAGUUUGUUUUUAAAUUUUCUACUUCUAGAUUGUAAGUUAGGACUUAUUUACAUUCUUCAUUUGUUAAAAUUUUUUCUUUUUUUUUCUUGAAUUAAUUAGGAAGUAGGCAUCUUAUUAUUGGCGAUCCAUUGAGAUAGGAAAUGUAAAAAGUAAGAAAAAAUGAGUGCAAAUAUUGCUGCAACUUUCUUCAUAUUGGUUUUACAUGGAAGGAAUUCCUAUUGGUAAUCUUUUUUGGCUUCAAUAUGGGAUUAGGGAUGGUUGGUGAUGAUCCUUUGGAGUAAUUUCAGUAUAAAUCUCCACACACACAUACAUAAGAUGCAGACCCAGAUGUUUAAUUAAGCAUAAUUUUCUUCAGUUGUAUGAUUGAAGACAAGAAUGCUCUGUUCUUAACUGUCUGAAGCACUGUUCAAGGAGCUGACAAAAGAAGUGCUUUCUUUUUUGCCUGGUCAUGUCUUCAAAUAAUUUAGUUUUCUUCUUAUUUAAUUGCCAACCUUUCAAAUAAUUUAAUUGCCAAACUGACAAAAGCUGUAAUUUCCUCGCAACUUCCAUAGUUGCCGAGUUUGUCGUAAAAUUCUUUCAGGUUUGGGAUAUAUCCAUGGACCUUUUGGUAUAAGCUUAGAAGGCCACGAAGUACCAUGGACCCGGUUGAAGGUUUACAAUUCACUCUGUUACAUCUGCAGGAGAAGAUACAACAAUAGGAUAUGCCUAUCUCUUGAAUUGAAGCACCUGCUUACAUAUUGUACAUGUUACAGUAAUUGCUGAACCUUUCUUUUCUUUUCCUUUUCAGAAAAAUUGUGUAAACCAGAUUGAUUUCAUAGAAUUAGGCUCGGCAAAUUAAAUGCAAAAAAUAUUCAUUGAUUCAGUCAGUAAAAAGUUCUGUGCUGUAAACCUCAAUUCAGUCUCCAAUUCUCACUUGGUAAUUUCAGCAGUACCAGUCAUUUUGCUUAAUAAUUCUUCUCACUUGGAGCUCUUAGCAAAUGGCUUGGCUUGCUCAACAAAGUGAAGCCCGAAGUUGAGGAUAUCAGAGACGGAUAAGAAAAGAUUAAUUAGAGAGAGGAAUGAUAGAUGUUAAGUAAAAUUUUACAUUUGUUGAAGAUAUAUUUUUCUUUUGUAAUUUACAUUUGUUAUAAAUUUUUUUGUAGAUCUCGUAAGCUUUGUCGAACUAAAAAUAGCCUUACAGAAUCACCACAGCAUUUAGAGUUGCUUGAAGUAUGCUAUUAACUUAGUAAUAGAUUAAAAUUGAAAAAACCAACUGAAUUGUUGGAUUUUAAUAA